rnacentral:rRNA from 1 species
UUCGGGGGACGAGGGUGACAGGUGGUGCAUGGUUGUCGUCAGCUCGUGUCGUGAGAUGUUGGGUUAAGUCCCGCAACGAGCGCAACCCUCGACCUUAGUUGCCAGCAUUCAGUUGGGCACUCUAGGGUGACUGCCGGCUAAAGUCGGAGGAAGGUGGGGAUGACGUCAAAUCAUCAUGCCCCUUAUGACCUGGGCUACACACGUGCUACAAUGGGCGGUACAAAGGGUCGCGAACCCGCGAGGGGGAGCCAAUCCCAAAAAGCCGCUCUCAGUUCGGAUUGCAGGCUGCAACUCGCCUGCAUGAAGCCGGAAUCGCUAGUAAUCGCGGAUCAGCAUGCCCGCGGUCCGAAUACGUUCCGGCCUU